rnacentral:rRNA from 1 species
GACGAACGCUGGCGGCGUGGAUUAGGCAUGCAAGUCGAACGGUAUCAUCCUUUCGGGGGUGAGAGAGUGGCGAACUGGUGAGUAACACGUAGGUUAUCUACCCUCAAGACGGGGACAACCCAGGGAAACUUGGGCUAAUACCGGAUGUGAGCAACUUUUAGUUGUUUGAAAGGUGGCGUAAGCUGUCGCUUGGGGAUGAGCCUGCGUCCUAUUAGUUAGUUGGUGAGGUAACGGCUCACCUAGGCAAUGAUAGGUAGGCGGCCUUAACGGGUGGUCGCCCACACUGGGAUUGAGAUACGGCCCAGACUCCUACGGGAGGCAGCAGUCGAGAAUAGUCUACAAUGGUCGGAAGACUGAUAGUGCGACGCCGCGUGAACGAUGAAUCCCUUCGGGGUGUAAAGUUCUUUUAUAUGUGAGCAGUGCUUCUUAUAUUAACAGUACGGGGAGAGAGAUAUUAGCAUAUGAAUAAGCAACGGCUAACUCCGUGCCAGCAGCCGCGGUAAACUCGUCU